UAUGGAUUGUGUGCGCAGCCGCGGUAAUCCGUAUGGGGCAAGCGUUAUCCGGAUUUACUGGGUGUAAAGGGAGCGUCGGCGGCAUGGCAAGUCAGAAGUGAAAGCCUGGGGCUCAACCCCGGAAUUGCUUUUGAAACUGUCAGGCUAGAGUGUCGGAGGGGUAAGCGGAAUUCCUAGUGUAGCGGUGAAAUGCGUAGAUAUUAGGAGGAACACCGGUGGCGAAGGCGGCUUACUGGACGAUUACUGACGCUGAGGCUCGAAAGCGUGGGGAGCAAACAGG
rnacentral:rRNA from 1 species